rnacentral:tRNA from 1 species
AGCUCAGUGGUAGAGCACAUGCCUAGCAUGCAUGAGGUCCUGGGUUCGAUCCCCAG